AGAUAUGGCUUUGCCCACCUUGCUGGAGAUGUGUCAGUGUGCUUGGCACCCUGCUGCACCCACUUCGGCAGUGGGCCGUGGCAGGGCUCAGACUUAGCAGCUGACUCCGCCCAAGAAAUCCGGUCGCAGCUUUGGCCAAAGUUGAGAUGAUGCCACAGCUAAAUAAGUCAAACACUCAUCAUUUCUGGCUUGACCUGCUCCUUAGUGUAGACCACUUCCCCAUUCUUGCUUUUUUUUUUUACAUAUAUGGUCAAAUUUUUUUUUUUUUAACAAUUUCUACAUGUACAAUUCAGUGACAUUGAUUACAUUCUUCAAGUUUUCCAAAUCGUCCCACCACCAUUACCAUAAAGUCACUGCCCCUGAAAGAAGCUCCUCCUUUCCCCUCCCUCUAGUCCCUGGUAACCAGAAGAAUCCGUGGCUUCUAUCUAUGUGCCUGUCUCACGUAAGUUAGAUCACACAGCGUUUUUCCCUUUGCGACUGACUGAUUUCACUUGGCAUGGUGUGUUCCAGGUUCUUCCGUGUUGUGGCGUGCAUCAGGGCUCCGUUUCUCCUUAUAGCUGAGUAUCAUCUGGAUAGACCGCGUUUUGCUUCUCUGCUCUUCUGUUGACGGACGUUUCAGUUGUCUACACCUUUUGACUAAGUGCUGCAGUGGACAUUGGUGUACAGGUUUCUGUUUGCAUUCCUGCCUUUGUUUCUUCUGGGGUGACUAUGAGUCAGAACCGACUUGAUGGCACUUAACAACAACAACAGGGUUGUUCCACAUUCAACUUUUUGAGGAACUACAGAACAGUUUUCUACAGGGGCUGCACCAUUUUACUUUCCCACCAACAAUGGAUGAAGGUUCCAGUUUCCCCACGACCUUGCCAACAUCUAGUUCUCAGGUUUUUUGAUCACUGCCACUCUAGUGGGUGUGAGGUGGUGUCUCAUUGUGGUUUUGAUUUGCACCUCCCUAAUUUUUUUUUAUUAUAGUGGCUGAUGGGAAACCCUGGUGGCAUAGUGGUUAAGUGCUAUGGCUGCUAACCAAAGGGUCGGCAGUUCGAAUCCACCAGGUGCUCCUUGGAAACUCUAUGGGGCAGUUCUACUCUGUCCUGUAGGGUCGCUAUGAGUCAGAAUUGCCUCGACAGCACUGGGUUUGGUUCAGUAAUGGCUGAUGAGAAAACCUGGUGGCAUACUGGUUAAGAGCUAUGGCUGCAAACCAAAAUAUCUGCAGUUUGAAUCCACCAGGUGCUCCUUGGAAACCCCAUGGAAUAGUUCUACUCUGUCCUAUAGGGUUGCUAUUAGUCAGAAUUGACUCGACGGAAACAGGUUUGGUUUUGGGUUUAAUGGCUGAUGACUUGAGCAUCUUUUCAUGUGCUGGCUGGCACUUCCCCAGCCUCUUCCUCUUCACCCAUAUGUCAACCAACAUGCUGUCCUGACACCUGCCCUCUCUGGGUGGCCCACCCUCCCAGGCCUUUGAGGCCACAGAGGCACCAUAUCACAUCUCAUUAGGACCUUGGUGUCCUCUAGGCUGCUCAGAGCCAAGGCCCCAAAAGGGGCCCACCGUUCCCCCAAACUUGCCUGUCCUCUCUCUCCUUUUCCUUCCUCAUGAAUGUUUCAGCCAUCUCCCCAGCCAGGGACCUGGCCACUGUCCCCUCAUCCAUCACCCACAACGUGGGGCCAUUCCACCUCCUCUUGGAGCUGCCCCGCUCUCCCUCCCAUUCUGCUGCCCACCCUGCCCCAUUGUCCUGCACUUGGGCAAUUGACCCACGUCCUCCUCAUGAGAGUCCUGCUUCUGUAAAGAUUACAGUUCUCAGAGUGCAGGAUCCUCCAGCCCCUCUCAGUACCCACAGGCUACAGGCUGUCCUGCUACUCUAGGUACUCCUCUGAGGCUACCAUUCUGGGACUAGCCAGGUCCCCCCCGGCCUCGCCCACAUCCACACAGGAUGGCGUGUCUCUGAGGCAGGCUGUUAGCUCUUUAAAGAGGGCCUGUGCCUACUGAGAAGGAGCCCUGGUGGCACAGUGGUUAAGUGCUUCACUGCUAGCUUAAGGGUCGGCAGUUCGAGCCUACCAGACACUCUGUGGGAGAGCGAUGGGGCAGCCUGCUUCUAUAAAGAUUACAGCCUUGGGAACCCUAUGAGGCAGUUCUACUCAGUACUACAGGGUCACUAAGAGUUGGAGUCGACUAAAAGGCAGUGGGUUUCUUUUGGUUUCUUGACUACUGAAUCAGUCCCUAGGUGGCCCAAAUGAUUUACACUUGAUUAUUAACCUAGAUAUUGGCAGUUCAAACCCAGCUAGCAGCACCACUGAAGAAAGACUUGGCAACUUGCUUCUGUAAAGAUCACAGCCAAGAAAACCCUACCGGGCACUUUUACUCUGUCACAUGGGGCUGCCAUGAGUGGGAAUUGCCAGCAGAGGUUGGUUUUGGGUUUUGGUUUCUACUGAUCUUGUAUUCCCAGCUCUGGUGGCCCAGCCAGGUGCCCCAUGGCGCUCACACGCAUACAUGCUCACCAGCAUGGUUAUGGGGUUCCCUCCAGCCUCCUCUACCUCCCAUUCCAGGGGGGCCAGAGGGCAGUGGCUCCAGGACUGGGCUGGUCCAGUGUUGUGUUUUUGUUUGUUUAUUGCUGAGGUGUGAGAGAUCUGACCAAGGUACAUCAACACAGGAUGGAUGGGGAGCAGAGAUGGGAGACAGGUCAGUCGGAGCCAGAUGGCCCUGGAAUUUGAGAGGGAAGGGAGAGCUGGGUGCCAGCAGAGAAGGAGCCUGUCCUCCUCCUCAGAGGGAGCCAAGAAGGAAGUGGGCAAGAUGAGGACACUCCUCAUUGCGGUCCCCUCCUCUGUAAGCAGGAGGUGAGGCCGGUGGCCCGCUGAGAAUGAGGGAGUCCAGGGGACAGGGGCGCUCCCUCAGGGGCCCCAAGAACAUCCUGCCAGCAUGGCUUCUGGAGAAUUCGGCUGGAGGGGCCAGGGCCUGCUUGCUGUACACAGAGAUAAAAGGAGAGAGAAGAGUAUGGGGAAAGAAGGACCUCCUACCACUAAGAAGGAAGAGCCAGGAGCGGAGCACAUCCUUUGGACCUGGGAUCCCUGCACUGAGAAGCUCCUUGACCAGGGGAAGACUGAUGGCAGGGGCCUUCCACCGGAGCCAUUGGAGAGAGAAAGACUUGGAGCUGGUGCCCUGAAUUUGGACUUUUAGCCUCCUAGACUGUGAGAGAAUAAAUUUCUGUUUGUUGAAGACACCCACUUGUGAUAUUUCUGUUAUAGCAGCGCUGGGUGACUAAGAUGAAGGUAAAAAGGCCGUUGGUGUCAGUUGAGAUUGUAAAGGCUGCUCAGGGCCAGCCAUGCCAGGCCUCCAACGUGGCCACAGCCCUCAGACACCCUCCAGGGCCAGCUUUGUAGCUCAGAAGGCCCCAGGCUCUGCUAAUGGUCUGCCGUCACUGCUUGACGUGAAGGUGACAAUUCUGUUUUGUUUUUUUUUAGAAACUCAGUGACCUUUAAUUAAGCAAUAACUCCUGAUCCCUCCCACCCCCCAGCACCUGGUAACCCCUAAUAACUGGUUUCCGUGAAUGUACCUCUUCUAGAUAUUUUGUGUAAGUGGGAUCAUACAACAUUUUCAGUCCUUCUGAGUCUGACUUAUUCCACUCAGUGUAAUGCUUUCCAGGUUCAUUCAUGUUGUUGCGUGUUAUCAGGACUUGAUUUCUCUUUAUGGCUGAAUAAAUCCUCCAUCAUAUGGAUGGACCGCUUCUGUUUAUCCAUCCACCUGUUGGUGGACACUUAAUGUCUUAGUCGCCUGGUGCCGCCGUAACACAAACACCACAAGUGAAUGGCUUCAACAAACAGCUUUUUCUCUCACAAUCUAGAAGGCUAGAAGUUCAAAUUCAGGGCGUCAGCUCCAGGGGAAGACUUUCUCUCUCUGUUGAUUCUGGAGGAGGGUCCUUGUAAUCAAACCUCUCCUGGACUUGGAGCUUCUCAGUGCAGAGACUCCAGGUCCAAAGGACACGCUCUGCUCCUGGCGUUUUCUUGGUGGUAGGAGGUCCUCAUGUCUCUCUGCUCACUUCUUUCUUUUAUAUCUCAAAAGAGAUUGGCUUAAAACACAACCUAGUCUCGUACAUUGAGUCCUGCCUCAUAAACAUAACUGCUGCUAAUCUUAUCUCAUCAACAUCACAGAGGUAGACAGGAAAAUCACAUCAGAUGACAAAUGGGUGGACGUUUACACAACACUGGGAAUCACGGCCUAGCCAACUCGACACAUAUUUUGAGGGGACACAAUUCAAUCCGUAACACUUGGGUUGUCUCUAGCUUUUGUCAGUUGUGAAUAUUGCUGAUGUGAACACUGGUGUACAAGCAUCUGGUUGAGUUCCUGAUUUCAGUCUUUCGGGUAUAUAACUAGGAGGGGAAUUGGUAGGUCUUAUGGUAGCUCUUCGUUUAAUUUUUUGAGGAACCGCCAAACUGGUUUCCACGGUGGCUGCACCACUGCACAUUCCCACCAGCAAUGGAUGAGGGUCCCAAUUUCUCCACCUCCUUGCCAAUACUCAGUCCUUUUUUUUUUUUUAAUAAUAGCCAUCCUAGUGGGUGUGAGGUGGCACCUUGUUGUGGUUUUGUUUUCCAUUUCCCUGAUGACUGGUGACGUUGAGUAUCUUCUCAUGAGUUUGUCAGCCAUCCCUACAUCUUCUCUGGAGAGAUGUUGCUCAAGUCCUUUGCCCCUUUUUUGAUUUUAUUAUUGAGUCGUAGGAGCUUCUCAUAUAUUCUGAAUAUUAAACCCUUGUCAGAUAUAUGCUUCCCAAAUACGUUCUCCAAUUUAGUAAUUUGUGUCUUCACUUUCUUGAUAGUGUCCUCUGAGGUGCAAAAGUUUUUUUAUUUUGAGUGUUUUAGUCAUCUAGUGCUGCUGUAGGGUCGCUAUGAGUUGGAAUCAACUCGAUGGCACUGGGUUUGGUUGUUUUU